rnacentral:rRNA from 1 species
UUGACAUACUAAGAACUUUCCAGAGAUGGAUUGGUGCCUUCGGGAACUUAGAUACAGGUGCUGCAUGGCUGUCGUCAGCUCGUGUCGUGAGAGUGUUGGGUUAAGUCCCGCAACGAGCGCAACCUUUUCCUAUUUGCCAGCGGGUCAUGCCGGGAACUUUUAAGGAUACUGCCAGUGACAAACUGGAGGAAGGCGGGGACGACGUCAAGUCAUCAUGGCCCUUACGGCCAGGGCUACACACGUGCUACAAUGGUCGGUACAAAGGGUUGCUACCUCGCGAGAGGAUGCUAAUCUCAAAAAGCCGAUCGUAGUCCGGAUCGCAGUCUGCAACUCGACUGCGUGAAGUCGGAAUCGCUAGUAAUCGCGGAUCAGAAUGCCGCGGUGAAUACGUUCCCGGGCCUUGUACACACCGCCCGUCACACCAUGGGAGUUUGUUGCACCAGAAGUAGGUAGUCUAACCGCAAGGAGGACGCUUACCACGGUGUGGCCGAUGACUGGGGUGAAGUCGUAACAAGGUAAGCGUAGAUGA